rnacentral:rRNA from 1 species
UACAGAGGUCUCAAGCGUUGUUCGGAUUCAUUGGGCGUAAAGGGUGCGUAGGCGGCGCGGUAAGUCGGGUGUGAAAUCUCGGGGCUUAACUCCGAAACUGCAUUCGAUACUGCCGUGCUUGAGGACUGGAGAGGAGACUGGAAUUUACGGUGUAGCGGUGAAAUGCGUAGAUAUCGUAAGGAAGACCAGUGGCGAAGGCGGGUCCCUGGGCAGGUCCUGACGCUGAGGCACGAAAGCCAGGGGAGCAAACGGG